GCCAACCAUGUAUAAUCUGCCGAAACUGUCCCUCGAUAAUUUAGGAGAAAUUAAAACUUGGCCAGAUAAACCAAAGCUGAGUACAUUUAUCACCACGAGAAAUUCUUUCCAUGAAAUGCUGGACCAUCCUUCAGGUUGAAACAAUAGAAAAUAGCAAACCACGCAAAGAUGUCCAGCUCUGUGGUAAGGGCAAAUAUAUUGGUAAGAUACAGAAUUCAAACGAGUUCAUAGUAUUGCAAGUGGCUGGAUUCUUUCCUUGCUUUCCUCCUUCCUUCCUUAUCUUUUUAAAAUUUAUAAAUAUAUAAAAUAUAUAUACAUACAUAUAUAAACAAUAUAUAAUAUGUAUAUAAAUAUAUAUAUAUGUAUAUGUAUGCUGUGCAGGGUACAAACUGUUGGACUCAAGCAGUAUUCCUGCCUCAGCCUUCUGAGUAACCGAAACUAUAGGUCUGAAUAGCUGAAACCAUGUCAUCCAGCCUGGGAGGCCACAGCUGUCACAGGCUCCAUAAUCUGCCCCUGGCCACAUGGGAAGUUCCUAUCCAUAAAUGCACAAGCAGUGACCAGUUUAUCCUUUUGAAGAAAAAAUUUCCUACCUUCAUUUCAAUCCCUCCUUGGUAACUCAAAGAUGCAAAUUCAAACUGAUGCAUCUUCAAAACACUGCCUCUUGCCAGAUGUGAUGGUGUCCAUCUGUAAUCCCAGCAUUUGGAAGGCUGAGGCAGGAGGAUCACCACAAGUUCAAGGCCAGCCUGAACUACAGGGAAAGACCCUGUCCCAAACAAACAACAAACAUUCUGUCUCCAGCGAGAAGUUUCUCUUCCCUGAGUGCCCUUUUACAAAAAUCAAAACAGCAGAAAUAACAGAACUCCCGGAGUUUCAUCUACUCACACUGCGGUCACAUAUGCUGCAA